UUAUCAUCAUCCUCACCAUACCUUUAUGGUCCCUGGUGGACUUGAGCUUCAUAGCGUCUUCGGAUGCUAUGUUGCUUGAAAUAUAGAGGUUACUGGGACGGUAGCUGUCCUAAGUGGUGUAUUAAUCUGCUUCGGCAGAAAAUCACCAUCUUAGUAAGCUGCCCUCGUUGUGCUCAGUUUCCACCUGCUUGCAUUUUUAAUUU
rnacentral:misc_RNA from 1 species